GUUCAUUGAUUGGUUCAUUCGGUCUUUGUCUGAGAUGCAGCUGAGAAGGCUGUCCCGUUUGAAUGUGCAGGGAUUGGAAGGGACCAUUUCCAUGGACCAUCUGUCUCACAGGCUAGUGAUACAACAAAGGGAGCCAGGAUGGUGUUAGUACAUGUCGGAUAUUUGGUUCUUCCCGUAUUUGGCUCUGUAAGAAAUAGAGGGGCACAAUUCACCAGGCAUCAGCACAGCCAUGCUACCUCAUGCCGACACUUCCACCUAGGGGCCCCUCAGGCGCCCAUCUCAGCUGAGUUCCCCUUGGGUCACACCAGCCAACCCCCCCAGACUGGCCUGGCCCCUCACCAGCCCCCGGCCCCCCACCACCCACCGCCCCUGCCGGCCCCCCCUCAGUUCCAGGACGUUACUGGGCCUCCGUUCCUACCUCAGGCCUUACACCAGCAAUACCUCAUCCAGCAGCAGCUUCUAGAGGCGCAGCACCGCAGGAUCCUCCCACACUCCAGACGAACUCUGGAGCGUGCUCCUCUGAACCCUCACAGACUCCGCUCAGGGUACGACUACUCCCCUCCCUCCAUAUCCCCCAGCCAAUCAGCCAGCAGCCGCGCUACCUGGCCGAGGGCACAGACUGGGACCUUAGUGUGGACGCUGGCCUCUCUCACCAACAGUACCAGCUCCAGCAGCUUCCACAGCACUAUCAGCAUUACCUGGCGGCAUCCCCCAGAAUGCACCACUUUCCCAGGAACACCUCAUCUGCACAAGUGGUUGUGCAUGAGAUUAGAAACUACCCGUACCCCCAGCUUCACCUGUUGGCUCUGCAGGGCCUCAACCCCUCACGUCACGCUUCCGCUGUACGAGAGAGCUAUGAGGAGCUGUUGCAGCUUGAAGACAGGUUGGGAAGUGUCAGUAGGGGAGCGGUUCAGACCACCAUAGAGAGAUUCACCUUCCCACACAAAUACAAGAAGAGGAAGCCUCUGGAUAUGAAGAUUGGCGAGGAGGGCGAGGAGACUGAUGUGGAUGAGAAAUGUACCAUCUGCCUGUCGAUGCUGGAGGAGGCAGAGGACGUCAGGCGUUUACCCUGCAUGCACCUCUUCCACCAGGGCUGUGUGGAUCAGUGGCUGGCGACAAGCAGGAAGUGUCCAAUCUGCCGCGUGGACAUCGAGACGCAGCUCCACCCAGACAGCUGAUGUCACAGGGGUGGAGCCUGACGGUCUGGCUGCUGUCAAUCACCCUGGCGUGGAUCCUGCUCCCUUCCACCCGGCCCUGCCUCUCCCAACAUGGGUGCUUUGCCAAAUGUCUCCAGUCGUCACGUGACAUCAUAGCCCUCUCUGACUCACGCUUUACUGAGCCAAUCCAGGAUUACUUACUGCACGAGAGACCGGAGACUGACUCUCUCUCUCUCUCUCUCUCUCUCUCUCUCUCUCUCAAUAAAAGCACAUCCCCAGCAAAAAGACAUGCAAACACUCACUCACACAUACAUUACAUACUAUAUACACAUGUGCACACAGGGUUUACUAGUUGCUUGCUGGUGGUUGGGUGUCGUUGCUGUUGUGUUGUAGUUAGGGGAGGCAGGUGUGUUUCCUGUGUCUUUGUAGCAUGUUCUUAAAGCCAUGACAUUAAUGUACAGAGUGAAAAGCACACAACCCCACUUGCCAGCCAGCCUGCCACAUACACACACACACACACUGCUUAUUCUGCCACAACAGGAAGCUAAUCAACCACUUAAAAGCCCUGUCGCCAUGUUUGCCUACAGAUCAUUUGUGGUAGUACAGUAGCAGCAUCAGACACAGUGGUAUUUUGACCCCUCACUUUGUUAUAAGAGGGGGACUGCGUGUUCAGAUCUCACCCAGCUUCUACUUUUUGCAAUACAGUAGUUGUACAUUUGCUUGGGACUGAUGCUGCCAUCAGUGUUCGGACAAAAUACAAUUAUUUCACUGCUGUCAUGUCGGCCUGCCCCAAUGCAUGGGGUGGCGUGUGUUUUUGAGUAAAUACAGAGGUUAGUGAGUGUUUUUAACCAAAUGUGUUAUGGUAUUGCUUGACCUGCCGCAAUGUGUGUGUUCUGCCCCAGUGUGUGGGUUUCAGUGUAUGUUUAACCAAUGCUUGCGCGUGAGUGACAAACUUAAAGUGCAGGUUCAAGUGUGUGUUAAGGGUAAUGUAGAAGUUAGCUUAACAGUGAUUUGAUUGGAGUGCUUGUAGAAUACAAAGCCAAAUAAGGAAUACAAUUAUUAUUAUUUUUAAAUGUAGUAGGACUUAUCCCCCAUCAUGCACUGCAGUGACUGAGUGAGAUGUGGGGCCUUCUGGUUAAGCAGAAGUGUUAGCUGCCCUGGAAACAGCGACUCUGUGCCAUCCACUCCUGUCGCAGGUGUUAAGGCUGAGCAGUGUAGUGAAAUGCAUGUUUCAAUGUUGGCUUGGGCUGUUGUGUUAGCGUUCAAACAAAAAAAAUGGAGGGCAGAGGAGGGUGUUGUCUGUGCAUGACUUAGUUAAUCUGAGCUGUGAUUAUCAACUCAACACAAACAAAUGAAGAAAAAGGGAGCACGAUGUCAGUGGUUGUCCCUGACCUGUAGCGUGUGUUCAUACUGUCCCUUUUUGGUGGCAAACAAAAUGGAAUCCUAUUGUUUACCUUAUUGCCUAAAGAACAAGCACAUGUGAUAGAUAUAGCAACAACCUCUUUUUGUUAUUGCAUUUGCGUUGGUUUCCGUAUAUUUAGGUAUAAACGCGCACUGUUUUGGACCGAGUGAGGAGCUUGUGUGUUGAAUUUGUUUUUAUGUGUCAGAUCUCCCCUCGUGGUUGCUAUGCUGGUUGCUAUGCUGUAUUGCUAGAACAACAAUGUAGAAUGUUGUGUGAUGGGGGCAGUAUCUUCCCCACAGUGCAUAUGGACAGGACUGGGCUGGGGUCAAAAUGAGGACCAAAAUAACGGUCAGAGAACACUUUUUGUUGUCAAAAAAACAACUCUAUAAAUGUUGAUAUUGUGUGUGCUUUCCUUUUGUUUUGUUGCUAUGUUAUGUCUGAGUCAAUGUGCAUGAACACUACAUAGGUUUUUAAGGAUUGGCACAGGUCCUGUAUUAGGACAGACCCUAAAUGCCCUGUAGACUGAAGGAUGAGUUGUGACGGAUUGGGACUGACCCUAACUGUCCUGUGCACUGCCAGUGUUGAUACUGACUCCUCCUUUAGUCUAGUUUUUUAUGGGAAGUUUCGAUAGUUUACACAGGGUGUUGUCAGUUGAGAUGCCUUAAGUAUUUAACAAUCAUUAUUUAUUACUAACUGUAGAUAUCGUGUGUACGUAUUUAAUUUUAUAUAGUUUUUUUCUGCAAUUGAAUCAUUUAUUUAUUUAGAUAUAACACAAUGGUUUAAAAAAAAUUGAAUGAUUACCUCUUUUUUGCAUUUUUGCAUUGUUUUAAUUCAAUGGGAAUGCUUCGCAUGCAGUUGUAUUUUUCCUGAAGAAACUAAAAAGACCUGCUGUUUGAUCUCUCUCCCCGAGCCGGCUGUGUUAUGUUUACUGUCCCGGGCUGAGCUGUCGAGCCUGCUCUUCUCAUGUGGUGCUGUGGAUAGUGGUGCUGUGGAUAUCUUGGUUACAUUCCAUUCAAUGCAAUUUUCUCUGAUCCCUAUGCUGUGAUGUAGUGGACAAACUGCAAUGGAGUGAAAUGUUUUUAAGUUUGUAAUUUGUCUUGUUUUGCACUCAGUUUUAACAUGGGAACCCUCUCACUGGCAUAAAGCAGUUACGAUCGUAGAUGUAUUGUUAUUAUUACUGUAUACUUUGUCAUUUCCAGUUCUCUGCCUCUCAUCCCUCUCUCCUUUCUUUAAAAAAAAGCAUGUUCCUUUUCUGUGUUGGGAUAUUUCUCCUUCCCUCUUUUCCAAAUAUCUUGUAGUUUUGAGCCCAACAAGUGCCUCGCUUCUAGUGUUGAGAUAUUUCCUUAUGAUUGAAGCUAUUUUUGUUACCGAGCCACACAAACUCCUACGCUCAGUUAGUCGAAAGCCAUCAUGCCUGAACUAGGUACAUAUUUAUCUGGAGGUCUUACUCCUGCAUUACACGGGCACCAUGAUGAACUGUAGGCUAUGUUCAAAUGCUGUAUAAUGUUGUAGUUCCUUUCUUAUUCCCUCCUCUCUCACUUCUCUCAUUGUCACCACUGACCAACCUGCAAGGUGAAGGAAAUAUGACCUUAGCCUCCAUAAGUGGAGUGUGGGAACUUUAAGGUGGUGUGGUCAGCGUCGUAUUGCUUUCACUAACCAAAUAGAUCUGUGGAUACCUUUAUGAGAAUAAAGAACGCGGCAUUUUAGGAGUACUCGGAAAUUGACAUUUCUCUCCAUCUUUUUUAGUUUAACCCUGACCUAAUCUAAUAAUACCUUUUGAAAUAUUUUACUUUAUCGAUUAUACAAAUUAAGGAAAUAUUUGACAAAUCUUUGUGAAAAUGUUUCACUGUGUUCAUCUGCGCUACACUAAUUAUUCUUAUUAUUCCCUCUUUUCCUGCCUUUCCGUUCCCUCUUUUCCUGCCUUUCCAUUCCCUCUUUCAUUUCCUUUAUUAUUUUGUCUUACCGUCCAUCCUUCCCUCCACUCAGAACCCAUCCAAUGUUUCCUAUCAAUCCUCUCUAUGUAAAACAAGAACAGACAGAGGAUCUCUUAAAGCACAACCUUACUAAAAAUGCAUGUUUUUCUCAGGUUUGAAUAUAUUCUUAAUGGUAUGUAAGUAUAUGGUGAAAAUAUUUGUAGAUAUACAAAGAAUAUUACAGAAUUAAUUUUGCUGCUGCUUGCAUCUGAAAAACUGAAGGAAAGAGAAAAUAUCUCAAAGUGCCAGUGAUAGGGCUGCCGCCAUCUUUGUAUAAGGUCUGCUGUUUAGCCGUGACUGCGCAAUGUUUUUCAAUAUAGGAGAUUUUAUCGGAGAAUAUAACUAUUUAUCAUUAAUAUUAAAGCAAUAGCUCAUUAAUGAUGAGUGUGUUGAUGAACUGGAUGAGCAUAUUGUGUAAAUGUUAGAUUCACAUUUGGUGGAAUUUUGUACUUUAUUUAUUACUACUACUACUAAUAAUGAUUUUAAAAGUUGCAUCGCUAAACCCAAACUGUUCUGUUUUUUUUAUUUACAUUUUAUUUCAAGGCUGGUAUAUUAUCCUUUUUUGUAUGUGCUCUUUUUGUAAUAAAUUGGAUCAAAUGGAA